CAUGAGCUGUACUGCCUAGGUAACUAAGGCACAAAACCCUAGGAUCUUAUGAAAUCAGAAGGUUGUAAGAAUAUUGGACUUAGGACAGGAUGAUUCAGCUCUCGAAAGAAUGUGGCAAGAAAUGAAGGUGGGAAAGAAUCAAGACGCUCUGGAAAUAACAGACUCCUAACUCUCACUCAAGUUAGCCAGCAAAGAGAGGUGUGGGAUGAAUCCAUCAACAGAAGGAAGAGAACAGCCUCCUUGCCUUGCCAGGUUGGUGGUGGGAUGUUCAAUGGUUUCUAAAUAGAAGGAUUUCCUUUGCCUUUUUCCAUUUCUUGGCUCUUUCCUCAUAAUCCUUUGCAAUAGGUCAAAAGUGCUCUU
rnacentral:lncRNA from 12 species